GCUCUUCUCGGGGAGUGGAGUGCUAUGACAGAUGAGACUUUCAUGCAAGAAAAUAAAUCCUGCACAUUUGAUGUACUGCUUUAAACUUAAAGACCUCUUUGGACCCGAAAUUGUAAGAUCCUGAGUGGCAACUGGAAAGGAUUCGUGGUUACUUGGAUCUAGGAAAAUCCUGUUUUAUCUCUGAUGGGACUAAGACAAAGCACUCCUGUUAGUACAACCCAGCUUGCGUUCCUCCCUGCCUGCAGAGGAAGCAUUUGGAUGCUUCCCUUCCCGUUGGAAGUUGCCAGUCUCUCUUCAGAGUGAUGAGGGCAGAACUGGUCAUUACGGAAAGAGUCGGAGGAACGGUGCCACAGCAUCAGGUUCAGGUUAACCACCUGGGACGGUAAACUACCGAAGUCUGCUUCUGCUUCCAAAGGAGAACCGCAGUGAAAGUGGUGGACAUGUCCUACCAUCUGUAAGCUCAAGAUCCUCUAGAGAACUGCAGGAUUCAGGGUGCUCUACUGACAGUACCUGGGGCAGCCGGAUCAGGAAAGAGUUUGUCUAGCCACAGUUGUCCCUUGCAGGUAAGUUCCAGGGAUCUCUGGUUUAGAUGAACAGAUUUAAGGAUCUGAGUAUUCUCUUCGCAUUAGAAGUUCACCCCUUGGGAAUAUGAAUUUCCAUAGGAAUCUAAAUUAUUCUGAGGACUUCCUGUGCUACAUAUCCAUAACAAGAUUCUCAGAAAAUCCAGGAAUGAUCCCAAUUUCCAUUCCUGGUUUAAGAUUCUCCGGCAAAUUAGGUGACUCUGGCCCAUGUCCCUACUAAAGCUGCCAUUAAUGUCUACAUGACCAAUGAGGAACGAGAGCUAGACCUAGUUUAACCAGACUUAUUGGGAGAAACUCAUAACCUAAUUUUUUAUGAGAAGUGUCCAGAUUUUCAAUUUUUUACAAUAUUUUUAAGGCAAACAAAAAAAUCUGUGAAACAGAAGCUUACCUGAAUAUAUUAAACAUCGUAGAAAGCUUUCAAGACUUUUAGAUAUUUCUUAGAUUGAUCUUCCCUUUCUUUCCUUUCAUUCUUCUUCCAUUCCGUCUUCUCUUUCCCUCCCUUCUAUCGCUUUUCCCUUUCUUCCAUCCAUAAAUAUUUAUUGAGAAGCUACUAUGUCCAAUGACUAUUUCUAGCACGGGGUAUAGAACAGAGAAACCAGACUAUAUCAAAUCAGAGUUUAGAUUCUGUUGAGGUAGGAGGGGAGACAGGUAAUAAUAAAUUUUAAAAAAUCAUUAGAAUACAUAGUGAUAAUUGCUGUGGAGAAAAAUGAAGCCAGAAAGUGGGAUAAGGAGUAGGAGAGAAGUUGCCCACUUAAGUAGAAAGGUGGGGAGGAGAGUAGGUGCAAAGGCUCAUGGCUGGUGUGGACCAGAGUGGUGGCAUUGUUAGCUUACUUAAAUUCUUUGCCACUAAGAACCUCUGCUUCUAAUAUGUUUCCCAUUUUCAAGCAUGUUCUUGCAAGUUUCUCUGGGGUCAGCUGCAGUAUUUCCCUGAGGAUUUCAAACCUGCAACGACAGCAGCAGUUCUGGGAACCAAUUCCAGAACCUCCUUCUAGCUGUUGCUAUCCUGUGCUCAUAUAAAACUUUGCCAACAAUUUGCAUUUGUGAAUUCAUUCAUCGAUGCAUUUAUUAAAUAUCUACUAUGUUCCAGUUACUAUAUAGAAUUCUUGGGAGUCAAAGAUGGAAAAGACACAGCCUCUGUUUUCCAAAGGGCUUACAUCUAGUACUAAGGAACAAAAAUUAUCAUAAAUAGGUGACAUAAAGUGUCUCCGGUCCAAUAAAAAUAUAUACAAAGGGAAUUAAAUGAGGGAGUGAUCACUCAUACCUGGAGAGAUUAGGACUGGAAUGGACUGGGAGGGGAGAGACUAAAACUAAGUAUGCAUUAAUUUGAGAGCAUCACCAUGAUCCACAAAGUCACCGUUUAUUAUGGACUUGCCUCUCAUUAAAUUAUGACUAGUAUAUUGGCCUCCUGGAUUGAUGUAUUGGAACUGGUCAUAGAAAAAUACCAUCAAUUCUUGCCAAUAAUUAUAUUUUUCCUCUGAAGGAACUAUUCAUUGUCUCAGCUCUCAUUUCAGUUGCAUAAUGUUUAGCCAGAAUUUUAGUCCAUGCAAUUCAAAAGAAAAGUUUAUUAUUGUUGUUUAUGCCCAUCCACUAAAGAGUAACAUCUACAUUAGAGUUAACCUCUCACUAAUAAUUACUUCUGAAUUUAGAAAGACAUUAGGGAUUAGGUCUGCUCGUCCCAUUAAAGUCAAUUAAAACAAAGAAGGAUUCUUAGCUUGUAUUUCUAAAGCAUUCAGAUUUGUAAAAUGCCAUGCAGUUAUUUUGUGUAUCUAGUUCUUAACACACCUCCAGGGGUGAGGGACGGGACUAGCAGACUGAAAAAACUCAAAAGAGAGAAAUAAGUCACACCAUGAGGUGCGGCUUGUCAAUGGCCACAGGGCCAGGCACUGGAGAGACAAGACAAGAAGCAGCUAAGUCUGAGGCUGGAGUAUUAUUCUUUCUAUCAAAGUCUCCUUCUAUUCAGUCAGCUACAGAAGACCCAGUGCUGUGAGAAAAUCAGACAGAAGUAUUUCCAAGACUUUCCAUGUCUGACUAACCAAGGUAAAAUCAGGAACUAACCUAACAGCUUCUGCACCAUGGCAGAAGAGUUUGCAGAAAUGUACCUGUUUUACUUUUCAAUAGAUUAUAUUUUAACACUUUUUAUCUUACUCUAUUUGAGUUUUUGAGAUGUGAUUCACAUUCUAUAAAAUUCACUCUUUUAAAGUGUACAAUUCAGUAGUUUCAGUAUAUUCCCAACAUUGUUAAAUCACCACCACUAACAAAUUCCAGAGCAUUUUCAUUAUCCCCAAGAAGAUGCCUGCCCCCAUUAGCAGUCAGCCCCCAUUCUCCCCUUCCCCAGGCUCUGGCAACCACUAAUCUACUUUCUGUCUCUAUAGAUUUGCCUAUUUUGCACAUUUCAUAUCAAUGAAAUCAUACAGUAUGUACCCUUUUGUGUUUCGCUUCUUCACAUAGCAUAAUAUUUUCAAGUUUCAUCCAUGUAGUAGCAUGUAUCAGUACUUUAUGCUUUUUUAUGGUUGAGUAAUACUUUAAUUCUAUUUGUCAAUUCAUCAGAUGAUGGACAUUUGGGUUGUUUACUCUUUGGGCUAUUAUAAACAUGCAUGCACAUGUUUUCAUUUGUCUUGUGUACAUACUUAGGAAUGGAAUUGCUGGGUCAUGUGGUAACUAUGUUUAACUUUUUGAGGAACUUUCCCCAAAGUGGCAGCACCAUUUUACAUUCUCACUAGCAAUGUAUGAGGAUUCAAUUUCUCCUCAUGUUCACCAAUGCUUGUUAUUGUCUGUCUUUUUUAUGAUAACCAUUCUAGUUGCUGUGAAGUGGUAUCUCAUUGUGGUUUUGAUUUGCAUGUCCUUAAUGAUUAAUGCUGUUGGAAAUAUUUUCAUGUGUGGGUUGGCCAUUUGUAUAUGUUAUUUAGGAAGAUGUCUAUUUAAAUCAUUUGCCCAUUUUUUAAAUUGCGUUACUCAUCCCUUUGUUGUAGAGUUGUAAGAGAUCUUUGUAUAUUCUGGAUGUUAAUCC
rnacentral:lncRNA from 10 species